GCUCAGUUGGUCAGAGCAAACGGCUCAUAACCCGUCCGGUCGUAGGUUCGAGUCCUAAAGGGUACCU
rnacentral:tRNA from 1 species